CCUGAGCCAGAUUCUGCUUCUGCUUGAUUGUGUCUCUUUUCCUUCUUUCUCUCUCUUCUUUCCUUUCCCUUUUAUCACAGUUACACUUCUUUACCCUUUCUGUGUUCCUGUAGGAGACCAAGGGCCUCCGUGGAUUGACUCCGCGACUCCCCAGAACUAAUCUUCCCUCUGGCUCUUUCACUUUCCUGGACUGAAGCAUUUGAGUGGGGUGAGUUCUGCUAAAUCUGAUAAACACUAUGAGUAGGUACUUUGAGUUGGGUCCUGGGCAUGUAAAGAUUAGAAGUAAUGCAUAUUAUCGUAAAGGAGCUGAACUCUGACAAUGGAAAAAAUGAGUACCCACAAGGUAUGGUUUCCUAGUCAAUAAGGAGAUGUGAAACAGUAUGGCAUAUUUAGGGAUCUGCACAUAAAUCUAACAUAAAAUGCCCUUGAACAUACAGAGUAGGCAGCAGGCCCUGUGGAAGGAUUUGAAGAAUGCACAUGUGUCCAUUGCCCGUAAAACCCCUACUCAUGCCCUCUCAGUGAAUUACCCCCCUCUGCUUCCGUGCCACUGACCAACCCUGAUCACAUCACUCCCCAUGCCAGUCUCCUUACCCAUAUUACCCUGAUUUAAAUGCAGUAGCCCUAAGUAUAAUCACUAAUAUGCUCAUCUCUCACUUAAUGCUCUCUUUUCAUUACAAAAAAAGAAUAGUAUAUAGGGGUGAAUCAGGUAAAUUACAAGGCUAGAAGUAUGAUUCAAAGUCUGGAUAAUUGAACUGUACUGUUUAUCCCUUUAGCAAAGUCCAUUCUAAAACUACGUUUUCUCUAACUAUAUAAAACAAUAAGGAAAGGCCUGCUCCUACUUAUGGCUUCCAAUUCACCCUCCCACUGUCUCCCCAGGCUCUCCAGUGACCAGUGCUUUGCCCGCUGUCCUUCUAUGAGAGGCCAACUUCAGAGUGUUCAAUUAAAUAUCUGUUUAUUAUAAAGACGAAAACGUAGGACAUGGGGUCCUCUUGGCAGAUAUUUUGCAUUUGUAUCAAGAAGCCUGGCUUUAAAAGUUUAACCACUGUUUUUUGCAACAACAUAUUGUUAAAGAAGGUAGAUUUAAAUGGCUGAAAACUCAAUGAGAACCUGGAUCACUUUGCACAGUCUGGAGGUGCUGGGGUCAGGCAAGAACAUGGGCUGAACUUCGGCUCAACAAUGAUGAUCACCCAAUAUGAGGAGGGGGUUAGCAGGAUUACAGAUAAGUAAUCUUGUAACGUUCAACUUCUUUCAAUACUUCCUUUAGCUUGUUGUUUGCAUCAAAUACCCAGCAGAAACUCUGUUCCUAGGGCUUGGUUUUGAGGAUACUCACAGGUUGGAGGGGCCUAAGAAAGGACUAAACUAAAUCCUUAUCUUCCAGGACCAUUUUUAAAACCCAAUUAAUCAUAAAGGUCCGAUCUGAUGUUCAUAGUGUAUCUUCUUGUUUCUUUGUUUGCAGACCUCUGUCCUUAGGCAAGUUUACAGGAGCAGAAUUCAUUUGGAGGCAAUAUUGGAAGCUGAGGUAAACCACACUGUUUGCAAAAUGCAGCAUUAGCACAAUGCAGAGAAGUGUGUAGGUGAAGAACAACACAGCAUCACUGGAAAACCCAUCACUUCGUCUUUAGUAUACUUUGCAUAGAGAGCUGGAAGCUGGCUCAUCAGCCACAUAGCACAUAAAAUUUGCUUAGUAACUCUAAAGCUGUGGGUUUCCAGGCUCAGUAUGGCUGGGAUCUCCUCCCUCAAUUUUUCAGUGUCUUCAUUCUAUUUGUUACACUGCUUUGUAGAUUCAGUGGAUAACCUACCAGAUAUCUUUACUUUAGAAAGAAGUCUUAUCGUGCUGAUUCCUUGCUUAAAAUCUCCAAUGGCUCCCACUGCCUAGAGUACCAAAUUUAGACCUGCAUCCUCCAAUGCCCUUCACAACCUGACCAUCACCUUUCAUUUCAGACCCAUUGUUCCACCUCUCUUCACUCAUCUAUUGCUCCAAAUGUAUGAAAACAUCUGCCAGGCCUCACACUAUGCACUUUCAUAAGCUCUAAUUUUGUCCUUUAUUCUCCCACCUGUUUUCCCUUCAAGGUUUAGCUCAAACUUCUCUGCCCAUGUGAAGCCAUUGCCAUCUGUCAGCUCCAUGAUGGAAGGACCACUGUCCAAUCCAUUUUCAUUUACCUGGCAUGAAGUGGGUAUUCAAUAAUCAUUGAAAUAGAAGGUCUCAUGGUAAAGCCAGACAUUACAAAACUUGUCACUAAAGGAAAUAACAUCAUCUGAAUAAAAAAUGAGAAGAUCACGCAAAAAAGCACAAGAGAAGAAGCCACAAAUGCCAUGACCACAAACCUACUUUUAGAAGUAACAAAAAAAGGAAAAGAGUAAGCAAAUUCUCAGUUUCUAAUUUCUCUAUUGUUCUAGAUAUUUGCCUCACUAAAUAUAAUUAUAAAAAGUCAAGACCAAAAUUUGAUCAGAAAAAAUAACAGCAAACAACCGUCUAGAAUUAAAAUUCAACUUAAUUAAAAAAAAAAAAGUUUAAUGGCAUUGGGAGAAAUACUUUUUUUAGACUUUAAACAAGUUAAUAUCUUGGACAGCUUCACAAGCAGAUAUAUUAUUCCAUAAAGGUAUUGAGGACUAGAGAUUUUAAGAGAAUACCUUUCUUGAGGCCAACAGUCUCCUCUACUGUGUUCACAAAGUAAUUGUGGAGAAAUAGCAUUGAAAGUAGGUAUAGGCAAAGUUAGUGGAGUGUUUUAAGGAAAAAAAAAAAUCCUUCAAAGAAAGUAAAAUCUCACCUAACUCAGCUUCAUUUGGGACCAUAGAAAAAAAACUUGGCAGAGAGAGUCCUUAGCAUAUUUCAUAUAUUCUCAAUGAUACUAUAUUCAUCUUAAUAAAAUAAAGUCGUUGGGUAGUCUUUUGCAUUUGCAUUUGGGUGGGUACAAAUGCUCUUCAAGGAGAAAUACAAGAUUUGUUUUCCCAUGCCAAUUACGGUACCAUGGCACGAUUCACCCUUGUCAACAUUCUGGCAGCCUCAAGCUCCCAUAGGUAGCCAGAAAAUCUAGACUGAAAACAAAUCCGAGGCCCUUUGUACUCACUCUGUGAAGUAUAUCUGACCAAGUAUUCUUGGAAUCUUUUUUAGUUCUACCAACACCAAAAAUGCCCACAAGCAGCAUUUCCCAUAGUAUACCACAUCCAUGGAAGACUCUCUGACAAAUGUUUUUUGAUGAAUAAAGAAAUUACCAAGAGGGAAUUUCCUAAACUUACUUGACCAUAGAACCAUUUUUUGUUUUUCCAUAUAACAUUUCUUGAUAUCCUAGGAUGAGUCUCCCUAGACACGCAUACAAUAGAAAACAGACUGGAAAUGCUAUUCCAGGAAAGCAAUAUUAUAUAGUACUUAAGAGUAUAGCGUCUGGAGUCAGGCUUCUUAAAUUUAAAUGUUUCACUUAAUAAUUGUGUGACUUUCCACAGAGUACUUAAUUUUUCUCUGCUUCCGUUUCCUUUUUGGUAUAACAGAUAUAACAAGUGUAUCUAUUGCUUAGAGUUAUUGUCACAAAAAGAGAGCAUGUACAGAGAUGAAUGCUUAGCACAAUGUCUACAACAUAUUAAUAUCGAGAAAAAUGUUUGCUAUUAGUACUUUUAUCAUCCCCAGAGGUAUAGGUAGGCACAGAGGGAGGUCCUUUCUAAAUGAGUCUGCCUUCUAGGUCUGGGCUAGAAGCAAAUUGGCUUCAGGGCUCUAGCUGUCUCUAGCUCUACCUUUAAGUUUCCCUUUCAUUGGAUGGUAUUAUUUUCCCUCCCUCAGUUACUCUGGAUUGGACUUCCUAGGACUUUUCCAAAGCAGACUUGAUCAGGGGCUGGGAAAAGGAAACCCUCUUCCAAGAUCCCAACUUCAGGAGAGAACCCACUGCACUAGAAAUGGCUGCAUAAAGCUCUAGCUAUGCAGUGGAACUUAUACCAAACCUUGGGCAUGCACUUGGCUAUUUUUGCUGGUAUACUCUGGGUCUGGACAGCUUGGUGGGCUCCUGCACAAGUCUGCUUGCUUCCCACCUGUGCCCUGUUGUUCCUGUUAACAGAGUGUUUGUGGUAAUGGAGAUACCAAGAGUCUUUUUUAAAUUUAUUUAUUUGGCCUUUGAGAGUUUUUUUCCCUUUGAUUACUAAAGUUGUUGUUGUUGGAUGCCACCGACUUGAUUCCAACUCAUAGCAAUC